rnacentral:rRNA from 1 species
AGAGUUUGAUCCUGGCUCAGAACAAACGCUGGCGGAGUGCUUAAUACAUGCAAGUCGUGCGAGAAAGUCGCCUUCGGGUGGCGAGUAGAGCGGCGAACGGGUGAGUAACACGUAAGCAACCUACCUCUAAAUCUGGGAUAACCUUGCCAACGCGGGGCUAAUACCGGAUACCGUUUUUGUGUCACAUGGUGCAAAAAUGAAAGAUGACCUCUUCUUGAAAGUUAUUGUUUAGAGAUGGGCUUGCGGUCCAUUAGCUUGUUGGUAGGGUAAUGGCCUACCAAGGCAAUGAUGGAUAGCCGACCUGAGAGGGUGAUCGGCCACAUUGGGACUGAGAUACGGCCCAGACUUCUACGGGAGGCAGCAGUAGGGAAUUUUGCGCAAUGGACGAAAGUCUGACGCAGCAACUCCGCGUGAGGGAUGAAUGCCUUCGGGUUGUAAACCUCUGUUGAGUGGGAAGAAAAAUUUUAUUGCUAAUAUCAAUAAAACAUGACGGUACCAUUCGAGGAAGCUCCGGCUAACUACGUGCCAGCAGCCGCGGUAAUACGUAGGGAGCUAGCGUUGUUCGGAAUUACUGGGCGUAAAGGGAGUGUAGGCGGAAAAGUAAGUUAGAAGUGAAAUGUAUCGGCUCAACCGAUAACCUGCUUUUAAUACUGCUUUUCUUGAGUAUGGGAGAGGAAGAUGGAAUUCCAGGUGUAGCGGUGGAAUGCGUAGAUAUCUGGAAGAACACCAGUUGCGAAGGCGGUCUUCUGGCCCAAUACUGACGCUGAGGCUCGAAAGCUAGGGGAGCGAACAGGAUUAGAUACCCUGGUAGUCCUAGCCGUAAACGAUGGACACUAGAUGCUGGGAACGAUUAGUUUUCGGUGUCGAAGCUAACGCAUUAAGUGUCCCGCCUGGGGAGUACGCUCGCAAGUGUGAAACUCAAAGGAAUUGACGGGGGCCCGCACAAGCGGUGGAGCAUGUGCUUUAAUUCGAUGCAACGCGAAGAACCUUACCUGGUCUUGACAUGGGAGUGAAAGUCUUUAGAGAUAAAGACCUUCCCUUCGGGGACACUCUACACAGGUGCUGCAUGGUUGUCGUCAGCUCGUGUCGUGAGAUGUUGGGUUAAGUCCCGCAACGAGCGCAACCCCUGUCCUUAGUUGCCAUCAGGUCAAGCUGGGAACUCUAAGGAGACUGCCUGGAUUAACCAGGAGGAAGGUGGGGAUGACGUCAAAUCCU